UACGUAGGGUGCGAGCGUUAAUCGGAAUUACUGGGCGUAAAGCGUGCGCAGGCGGUUUUGUAAGCCAGAUGUGAAAGCCCCGGGCUCAACCUGGGAAUGGCAUUUGGGACUGCAAGGCUUGAGUGCGGCAGAGGAGACUGGAGUUCCUGGUGUAGCAGUGAAAUGCGUAGAUAUCAGGAGGAAUACCGAUGGCGAAGGCAGGUCUCUGGGCUGACACUGACGCUCAUGCACGAAAGCGUGGGGAGCAAACAGG
rnacentral:rRNA from 1 species